AGUGAACGCUGGCGGUAGGCCUAACACAUGCAAGUCGAACGGCAGCACAGUAAGAGCUUGCUCUUACGGGUGGCGAGUGGCGGACGGGUGAGGAAUACAUCGUAAUCUACUUUUUCGUGGGGGAUAACGUAGGGAAACUUACGCUAAUACCGCAUACGACCUACGGGUGAAAGCAGGGGAUCUUCGGACCUUGCGCGAUUGAAUGAGCCGAUGUCGGAUUAGCUAGUUGGCGGGGUAAAGGCCCACCAAGGCGACGAUCCGUAGCUGGUCUGAGAGGAUGAUCGGCCACACUGGAACUGAGACACGGUCCAGACUCCUACGAGAGGCAGCAGUGGGGAAUAUUGGACAAUGGGCGCAAGCCUGAUCCAGCCAUACCGCGUGGGUGAAGAAGGCCUUCGGGUUGUAAAGCCCUUUUGUUGGGAAAGAAAAGCAGCAGGUUAAUACCCCGCUGUUCUGACGGUACCCAAAGAAUAAGCACCGGCUAACUUCGUG
rnacentral:rRNA from 1 species